rnacentral:rRNA from 1 species
CCUCUAUGAUGGGGAUAACAGUUGGAAACGACUGCUAAUACCGAAUACGCUCAUAAUGAACUUUAUGAGGAAAGGUGGCCUCUGCUUGCAAGCUAUCGCAUAGAGAUGAGUCCGCGUCCCAUUAGCUAGUUGGUGGGGUAACGGCCUACCAAGGCAACGAUGGGUAGCCGAUCUGAGAGGAUGAUCGGCCACACUGGAACUGAAACACGGUCCAG